AUGGGGCAGAGCUGGAGGGGAAGAAUCGGGACAGACGGCGGAAGAAGGGGUCUGGGCGCCGAGGCAAGUGUGCAGCAGGUGCCCAGCAGACCUAGGGAAACCGGGGCACUGGGCUGGGGAGCCGCACAGCCCCCUUUCGCCUUCGCGAUUCCUUUCCAAACCCUCGCUCUGGUCGAUCCCAGCCCUGGCUCCAGCUCCCUGACCUGUUCCCCGCCCUCGGCCCCGGUGGCUUCCAGCAGCAACAGUUGGGGUCCGCGGCAGCCCAGACUCCCCUGCUCCCGCCGUGCCUACGCGCCAAGCGAAGGAGGAGGGGGGCUCAGCGACCCCGGGGACGAACGUCUUAGGCGCUGCACCCGCGUCCUUCUCUCACGUCCGCCGCGCGCCUGUCUCCUCGGCCUCUUCUUCACCUCCUCUCCGGCCGCCCGGGUCCAAACCCAAGGCCGGGUUCUCGAGGGUCCGGGUCCUCCAGCCGCCCCCUCCUCGCGCCCCGAGAGUCCUGCGCGGGCCCGGCUCCCCCCGGGUGUCCCGCCUCUGUCUCCGCCGUCCUUGCUCGCGCGCCGCGGGAACCCAGCCCCAAGUUGGCGGCGAAGUUGGCGCCCCCCGCCCGCCGCCUGCCACUCACCAAGAGGAAGGGGCGCUGCGUCCGCGCCGAGAGCCCACGCUGGCCGCCUCCCUCGCGGUGUCUGUCCCAGAGCCUCGGCCCCGGAGGGCUGGCGCGCUCAGUCUCAGCUCCGCGGGCGCCGGAGCCAGGGCGCGGCGGGGCGGGGGAGGGUGGCGCGGCCUGGCCGGCUGGCCCCGACCCGCCCCCGCGCCCCGCGACCCUCCCGAGGCUCACACGGCGCCCAGCUCCAUCCCGGGCUGGUCUGCGCGCCGAGCCUCCUGCUCCCAGGGCUCGCAGCUGACUGUGCAGGAGCUUUCACCGCCGCCCGCGAGGGCCCGCCCCGCCGGGGCCCGUCGCCUCCGCCCCGGCUCGGCCCGGCCAACCGCCCCUCGAUGCCCCUCCCGCCGCAGGCCCGGGUCCCUCUCUCCUCUCCGGGACCGCGUCCCCAGACCCGACACUCGGGGCAAGUGCGCCUCGGAGGAAACGCCAGCCUGCCUGGAACCUGGGUUUGA
rnacentral:lncRNA from 1 species